AAGGUACUCCCUUCGUUCGGAAUUACUUGUCGCAAAAAUGUAUGUAUCUAGACGUAUUUUAGUUCUAGAUACAUCCAUUUUCGAGAUAAGUAAUUCCAAACGGAGGGAGUAGCUU
rfam:Triticum aestivum genome assembly, contig: Triticum_aestivum_CS42_TGACv1_scaffold_642428_T_3DS-0.228229_3DL-0.141818